AACCUCCGCAAUGUGAGAAAUCGCGACGGGGGGAUCCCAAGUGCCAUUCUUAACGGGAUGGCUUUUCAUUAGUGUAAAGAGCUUUUGGAAUAAGGGCUGGGCAAGACCGGUGCCAGCCGCCGCGGUAACACCGGCAGCUCUAGUGGUAGCAGUUUUUAUUGGGCCUAAAGCGUCCGUAGCCGGUUUAAUAAGUCUCUGGUGAAAUCCUGUAGCUUAACUGUGGGAAUUGCUGGAGAUACUAUUAGACUUGAGACCGGGAGAGGUUAGAGGUACUCCCAGGGUAGAGGUGAAAUUCUGUAAUCCUGGGAGGACCGCCUGUUGCGAAGGCGUCUAACUGGAACGGUUCUGACGGUGAGGGACGAAAGUUAGGGGCGCGAACCGGAUUAGAUACCCGGGUAGUCCUAACCGUAAACGAUGCGGACUUGGUGUUGGGGUGGCUUUGAGCUGCUCCAGUGCCGAAGGGAAGCUGUUAAGUCCGCCGCCUGGGAAGUACGGUCGCAAGACUGAAACUUAAAGGAAAU
rnacentral:rRNA from 1 species